GGCCGGUUAGCUCAGUGGUUUGAGCACGGUGCUGACAAGAAUGACAACACUGAGGUCGUGGGUUCGAUUCCUGCUCAGUCCC
rnacentral:tRNA from 1 species